UCACGAGCGUGACCCUCGUGAGGGUAACCCUCGUAACCCUUGUGAGAGUAACCCUCGUGA
rnacentral:pre_miRNA from 1 species